ensembl:miRNA
UAAUCUCUGCAGGCAACUGUGAUGGUGCUUUAUUUUCUCACAAUCACCUGGAGAGAUUCUG